rnacentral:rRNA from 1 species
ACUCGAAGAGUAGGGCGGGACACGUGGUAUCCUGUCUGAAUAUGGGGGGACCAUCCUCCAAGGCUAAAUACUCCUGACUGACCGAUAGUGAACCAGUACCGUGAGGGAAAGGCGAAAAGAACCCCGGCGAGGGGAGUGAAAAAGAACCUGAAACCGUGUACGUACAAGCAGUGGGAGCACCUUCGUGGUGUGACUGCGUACCUUUUGUAUAAUGGGUCAGCGACUUAUAUUCUGUAGCAAGGUUAACCGUAUAGGGGAGCCGAAGGGAAACCGAGUCUUAACUGGGCGUUAAGUUGCAGGGUAUAGACCCGAAACCCGGUGAUCUAGCCAUGGGCAGGUUGAAGGUUGGGUAACACUAACUGGAGGACCGAACCGACUAAUGUUGAAAAAUUAGCGGAUGACUUGUGGCUGGGGGUGAAAGGCCAAUCAAACCGGGAGAUAGCUGGUUCUCCCCGAAAGCUAUUUAGGUAGCGCCUCGUGAACUCAUCUUCGGGGGUAGAGCACUGUUUCGGCUAGGGGGCCAUCCCGGCUUACCAACCCGAUGCAAACUACGAAUACCGAAGAAUGUUAUCACGGGAGACACACGGCGGGUGCUAACGUCCGUCGUGAAGAGGGAAACAACCCAGACCGCCAGCUAAGGUCCCAAAGUCAUGGUUAAGUGGGAAACGAUGUGGGAAGGCACAGACAGCCAGGAUGUUGGCUUAGAAGCAGCCAUCAUUUAAAGAAAGCGUAAUAGCUCACUGGUCGAGUCGGCCUGCGCGGAAGAUGUAACGGGGCUAAACCAUGCACCGAAGCUGCGGCAGCGACACUAUGUGUUGUUGGGUAGGGGAGCGUUCUGUAAGCCGUUGAAGGUGUGCUGUGAGGCAUGCUGGAGGUAUCAGAAGUGCGAAUGCUGACAUAAGUAACGAUAAAGCGGGUGAAAAGCCCGCUCGCCGGAAGACCAAGGGUUCCUGUCCAACGUUAAUCGGGGCAGGGUGAGUCGACCCCUAAGGCGAGGCCGAAAGGCGUAGUCGAUGGGAAACAGGUUAAUAUUCCUGUACUUGGUGUUACUGCGAAGGGGGGACGGAGAAGGCUAUGUUAGCCGGGCGACGGUUGUCCCGGUUUAAGCAUGUAGGCGGAGGUUCCAGGUAAAUCCGGUACCUUUUAACGCUGAGGUGUGAUGACGAGGCACUACGGUGCUGAAGUAACAAAUGCCCUGCUUCCAGGAAAAGCCUCUAAGCAUCAGGUAACAUCAAAUCGUACCCCAAACCGACACAGGUGGUCAGGUAGAGAAUACCAAGGCGCUUGAGAGAACUCGGGUGAAGGAACUAGGCAAAAUGGUGCCGUAACUUCGGGAGAAGGCACGCUGAUAUGUAGGUGAAGCCCCUGCGGGUGGAGCUGAAAUCAGUCGAAGAUACCAGCUGGCUGCAACUGUUUAUUAAAAACACAGCACUGUGCAAACACGAAAGUGGACGUAUACGGUGUGACGCCUGCCCGGUGCCGGAAGGUUAAUUGAUGGGGUUAGCGGCAACGCGAAGCUCUUGAUCGAAGCCCCGGUAAACGGCGGCCGUAACUAUAACGGUCCUAAGGUAGCGAAAUUCCUUGUCGGGUAAGUUCCGACCUGCACGAAUGGCGUAAUGAUGGCCAGGCUGUCUCCACCCGAGACUCAGUGAAAUUGAACUCGCUGUGAAGAUGCAGUGUACCCGCGGCAAGACGGAAAGACCCCGUGAACCUUUACUAUAGCUUGACACUGAACACUGGUCCUUGAUGUGUAGGAUAGGUGGGAGGCUUUGAAGCGUGGACGCCAGUCUGCGUGGAGCCGUCCUUGAAAUACCACCCUUUAAUGGCUGGUGUUCUAACGUAGACCCGUAAUCCGGGUUGCGGACAGUGUCUGGUGGGUAGUUUGACUGGGGCGGUCUCCUCCCAAAGAGUAACGGAGGAGCACGAAGGUUAGCUAAUCCUGGUCGGACAUCAGGAGGUUAGUGCAAUGGCAUAAGCUAGCUUGACUGCGAGAGUGACGGCUCGAGCAGGUGCGAAAGCAGGUCAUAGUGAUCCGGUGGUUCUGAAUGGAAGGGCCAUCGCUCAACGGAUAAAAGGUACUCCGGGGAUAACAGGCUGAUACCGCCCAAGAGUUCAUAUCGACGGCGGUGUUUGGCACCUCGAUGUCGGCUCAUCACAUCCUGGGGCUGAAGUAGGUCCCAAGGGUAUGGCUGUUCGCCAUUUAAAGUGGUACGCGAGCUGGGUUUAGAACGUCGUGAGACAGUUCGGUCCCUAUCUGCCGUGGGCGCUGGAGAAUUGAGGGGGGCUGCUCCUAGUACGAGAGGACCGGAGUGGACGCAUCACUGGUGUUCGGGUUGUCAUGCCAAUGGCACUGCCCGGUAGCUAAAUGCGGAAAAGAUAAGUGCUGAAAGCAUCUAAGCACGAAACUUGCCCCGAGAUGAGUUCU